rnacentral:rRNA from 1 species
AUUUUCAACGAUGGAUAUCUUGGUUCCCAUGACGAUGAAGAACGCAGCGAAAUGCGAUACGCAAUGCGAAUUGCAGAAUUCCUUGAAUCAUCAGAUUUUCGAACGCAACCCGCACCAAGCCUGAGACUCCGGUCUCUAGCAUUGGUAUGUUUGUUUCAGUAUCUAGAAUAUCAUAAAUCUCAAUAUGAUUGACAAAACUUACUUCGGUAAACGGCGUCUUUCAUCAAGUUAGAAUAGAUUCUUAUAUCUGACCAAUGAAGCAGUCACAUUUAUGUGAUCUCAUUGUGAAAGAAGUAAUGAGUUUAUAGAUCACAAAAUUUCUUCCUUUUACAUCUGAAAUCAAGCAAGAUAACCCGCUGAACUUAAGCAUAUCAUUAAGCGGAGGAAAAGAAAACAACAGUGAUUACCUUAGUAGUGGCGAACGAACCGGUAAUAGUCCAAUUUUAAAUCCGGAAACGGAAUUGUAAUCUAAAUAUUUAUUGAGAAACAACGGCGCUAGCAUAAAUCUGUUUGAACGCAGUACCAGAGAGGGUAAUAGUCCCGUAUGCAGCUAUCCGCUAGUCUAUCAAUAAUGUCGUAGAGUCGGGUUGCUCGGGAAUGCAGCCUUAAAUGGGAGGUAGACUUCUCCUAAGACUAAAUAUUAAUGGGAAACCGAUAGCAUACAAGUACUGUGAAGGAAAGAUGAAAAGAACUUUGAAAAGAGGGUGAAAAGACUUGAAAUCGUUGAGAAGGAAGCGUAUGAAGAGUAUUAUUUGCCGUUGAGUCGCUGUUCUGGGGGACUUGUUCUUAUUAGUAGUCACUUCGGGGCUUGCUAGUGGAGUAACAUAAUCCUAACUCAGCUGCUUAGCUGUAAUAUGCAAGAUGAGUUGUGCGUUCUAGUAAUUAUGUUUUGAGAAGUUACCCUCACGGGCGGCUCUUAACAACAACUGGUUCCACGACUGAGGGGCUUUCUAAGCGAUCUUGUAAAAAUGGCUUCAUAUGACCCGUCUUGAAACACGGACCAAGGAGUAUAACAUAUAUGCGAGCUUUCGAGUGGCAAACUCAUAGGCGAAAUGAAAGUAAGUAUAAGAUGUCAUUGGAUAAAACCAUGCAGCAUCGACCCGGCAUGAUCUUUUGUAAAGCACGGAGUACGAGUAUAUCUGUUAUGACCCGAAAGAUGGUGAACUAUGCUUGAGUAGGGUGAAGUCUGGGGAAACUCAGAUGGAAGCUCGUAGCGAUACUGACGUGCAAAUCGUUCGUCAAACUUGAGUAUAGGGGCGAAAGACUAAUCGAACCAUCUAGUAGCUGGUUCCCUCCGAAGUUUCUCUCAGGAUAGCUAGAACAUACUAGCAGUUUUAUCAGGUAAAGCGAAUGAUUAGAGGACUGUGGGUGAUCUUCACCUACACCUAUUCUCAAACUUUAAAUUGGUAAGAAGUUUGUUGAUUUCUUAAGUGAUCACAAACGUGGAAUGCAUUGUUCUAAGUGGGCCAUUUUUGGUAAGCAGAACUGGCGAUGAGGGUUGAACCUAACGUUGAGUUAAGGUGCCAAAAUAUACACUCAUCAGAUCCUAUAAAAGGUGUUGAUUCAUACAGACAGCAGGACGGUUGCCCUAGAAGUCGGAAUCCGCCAAGGAGUGUGUAACAACUCACCUGCAUAAUGAAUUAGCCCUGAAAAUGGAUGGCGCUAAAGUGUAUUACCGAUACUCAACCAUUAUUGCAAAUAUGAUGCAUUAAUGUGUAGGAGGGCGUGUGCGUGGUGCUGAAGGCUUGGGAGUGAUCCUGGCUUGAACCUCGUGCAGUGCAGAUCUUGGUGGUAGUAGCAAAUAUUCAAAUGAGAACUUUGAAGACCGAAGUGGAGAAGGGUUCCGUGAGAACAGCAAUUGGUCACGGGUUACUCGAUCCUAAGACAUAGGGUAGUCCUUUAUCCAUGAAGCAUUGCUUCGGUGUCGAAAGGGAAAGAGGUUAAUAUUCCUCUAGCUGGAUGUCGGUAUUGUGGUAACACUAACAAAGUCAGAGACGCCGGUAAGAACCCCUGGGAGAGUUAUCUUUUCUUUUUAACUACUCUCUGACCGUGGAAUUGGAUUAUCCAGAGAGACGGUUGUAAGGUAGGCAGAGCACUCAAAUCUAUUGAGUGUUAGGUGCGUUCUUGACGGCCCUUGAAAAUCUGACGGCUGAGCUACUUGACACCAGAUCGUACCCAUAACCGCAUCAGGUCUCCAAGGUUAACAGCCUCUGGUCGAUAGAAUAAUGUAGAUAAGGGAAUUCGGCAAAUUAGAUCCGUAUCUUCGGGAAAAGGAUUGGCUGUGAGGAUUGGUCCAUACGGCGCGAGAGGUUGAACUAAGUCUUAUCUUUGAGGACUGAUCGGAGCAAUUCGAGUGGACCCUUAGUAUAACGAUUGAGCGAUCCACUUGUUUGACGUGGGAAAAAAUCAAUUAACUCACAACUGAAACGGACAAGGGGAAUCUGACUGUUUAAUAGAAACAUAGCAUUGUGAUGGCCGUAAACGGUGUUGACACAAUGUGAUUUCUGCCCAGUGCUCUGAAUGUUAAAGUGAAGAAAUGAAGCCAAGCGCGGGUAAACGGCGGGAGUAACUAUGACUCUCUUAAGGUAGCCAAAUGCCUCGUCAUCUAAUUAGUGACGCGCAUGAAUGGAUUAACGAGAUUCCUACUGUCCCUAUCUACUAU